UCAAGUCUGUUUACGAGAAGUGCUUUUUGGGUGCUAAUAUCAACGGAGUAGAACUUGUCAAACAGGCCGCUGAUGCUUGUAACUUUUCUCCUUUUGUUCUCUUCGAUCUGAAACUUCGCAAGAUUUCAGUUGUGAGAAACCGUAUCUUAAGUAAUUGUUAAGAAACGGGGCUGUCAAUCAAAUGUAUAUCUUGCUUGAUCUUCCCUCCUGUGACCUCAUCACAAAAGAACUCUGGACUUCUUCACAACAGUUCUUGCUAAGAAAAUAAAUGGCUUUCCUAACCAAAAUGAUGCAUUCUGAUCAGACUGGAUUUAUCCCGAAGAGAAAAAGCCUUUGACAGUUUGGAACGGUCUUUAAUCCCUGCAGUUUUGAAAAAGAAAGGUUGUGACUCUCAUUUUCUUACAUGGGUACAGAGCAUUUGCAAACAACAAAAAGCCAAAAUAAUAGUAAAUGGUUCUUUAUCACAGUGCAGUGUUCACAGUGACACUCUGUGGAAGCAAAAGUUGGACUUUGAAGAAGCAGGAUAGAAAGAAUGUUGGAGAAGAAUC